rnacentral:rRNA from 1 species
UACCAUGCAGUCGACGGACCCUUCGGGGUUAGUGGCGGACGGGUGAGUAACACGUGGGAACGUGCCUUUAGGUUCGGAAUAGCUCCUGGAAACGGGUGGUAAUGCCGAAUGUGCCCUUCGGGGGAAAGAUUUAUCGCCUUUAGAGCGGCCCGCGUCUGAUUAGCUUGUUGGUGAGGUAAUGGCUCACCAAGGCGACGAUCAGUAGCUGGUCUGAGAGGAUGACCAGCCACAUUGGGACUGAGACACGGCCCAAACUCCUACGGGAGGCAGCAGUGGGGAAUCUUGCGCAAUGGGCGAAAGCCUGACGCAGCCAUGCCGCGUGGAUGAUGAAGGUCUUAGGAUUGUAAAAUCCUUUCACCGGUGAAGAUAAUGACUGUAGCCGGAGAAGAAGCCCCGGCUAACUUCGUGCCAGCAGCCGCGGUAAUACGAAGGGGGCUAGCGUUGCUCGGAAUUACUGGGCGUAAAGGGAGCGUAGGCGGACAUUUAAGUCAGGGGUGAAAUCCCAGAGCUCAACUCUGGAACUGCCUUUGAUACUGGGUGUCUUGAGUGUGAGAGAGGUAUGUGGAACUCCGAGUGUAGAGGUGAAAUUCGUAGAUAUUCGGAAGAACACCAGUGGCGAAGGCGACAUACUGGCUCAUUACUGACGCUGAGGCUCGAAAGCGUGGGGAGCAAACAGGAUUAGAUACCCUGGUAGUCCACGCCGUAAACGAUGAUUGCUAGUUGUCGGGAAGCUUGCUUCUCGGUGACGCAGCUAACGCAUUAAGCAAUCCGCCUGGGGAGUACGGUCGCAGAUUAAACUCAAAGGAAUUGACGGGGCCCGCACAGCGUGAGCAUGUGGUUAAUUCGAGCACGCGCAGAACUUACCACCUUUGACAUGCU